ACGCACAGAAUGUAGAAGAAAGAGAAAUCUGAGACAAAGAAGAGGAAGCAGAAGGGAGAGGAGCAGAAGAGGAGAGGGAUUUUUCUCUUUUUCGUUUGGUUGUUUCUUUUGCUUCUUUUCCAUUUUCACUUUCAUUUUCUUUUUCUUCAUCUUUUUCUUCAU
rnacentral:RNase_P_RNA from 13 species